rnacentral:rRNA from 1 species
GACGAACGCUGGCGGCGUGCUUAACACAUGCAAGUCGAACGGAAAGGCCCUGCUUUUGUGGGGUGCUCGAGUGGCGAACGGGUGAGUAACACGUGAGUAACCUGCCCUUGACUUUGGGAUAACUUCAGGAAACUGGGGCUAAUACCGGAUAGGAGCUCCUGCUGCAUGGUGGGGGUUGGAAAGUUUCGGCGGUUGGGGAUGGACUCGCGGCUUAUCAGCUUGUUGGUGGGGUAGUGGCUUACCAAGGCUUUGACGGGUAGCCGGCCUGAGAGGGUGACCGGCCACAUUGGGACUGAGAUGCGGCCCAGACUCCUACGGGAGGCAGCAGUGGGGAAUAUUGCACAAGGGGCGGAAGCCUGAUGCAGCAACGCCGCGUGCGGGAUGACGGCCUUCGGGUUGUAAACCGCUUUCGCCUGUGACGAAGCGUGAGUGACGGUAAUGGGUAAAGAAGCACCGGCUAACUACGUG